rnacentral:lncRNA from 1 species
CUAGCCAUCCCUUUAAUAUUAUCCCUUGUUAACCCCGUUUGAGCAUGUACCCUUUGUUUGUAUAUAUAACAACAUCUGUUUGACCCAAACACUUUCUUACCCUGUUCAGAGAAAAUUUUAUGUUCUUUAAGCUGUGUUAAAUUCUAAGUUUAGGGUAACUCCAUAAGCAUCUGAAAGCAAGAUGAGUGCAGAAAAAGAUUAAGAAAAAUGACCAUCAAGAAAAAAAGAAAAAAGAAAAAAAAGAAAAGAGAAAUUUGAU